CAAAUAAUAGUUUAAUAAAAACGAUAACUUUGGGUGUUACUGUUUGGGUAAAAAUCCAUUAUUUGA
rnacentral:tRNA from 1 species